GGUUCCGUGGCCGAGUGGCUAGGCAGAGGUCUGCAAAACCUCCUACAGCAGUUCGAGUCUGCUCGGGACCUCCA
rnacentral:tRNA from 1 species